ensembl:lncRNA
UGAGGGAAGGCAAGAAGUAGAUAGAAGAUUUGCAGCAGAUCGAUCUGGACAGCACAGACAUGUCAUUUGUCUUCCUGGAGCUCCUUGGAAAAGGGUCAAGGCACCUUCAAGGGCACUGCUGCUUACAAAGAAGAAGGCAGUUGGUGCUUAUUCUAUGAAACAAGGAAUUUGAAAACUACUCGAAUCUACAUACUGUUAACCUCAUUCAGAGAAGAAGCAGCGCACAGAGGCACCGAAAACGUAUCAGAUAUCUCAAGAAGGUGGAUCUAAACGAUGGAAGUUUACCCUCACUCAGAAAGCUGAGGGACUGUAUGGGAAGAAGCUGCCUUCCAUACUUUUCCAAAUGUGCAUGAUGUCUUUAAGAAGAGAAAACAAACACAAUUCACUCAUAAAAGCCUGUCACUACUUGCUGGUCUUCCUACAGCUUCAUAAUAGUUCAAUCUGCAUGGUGCCUAAAAUGCAGUACAGCUAUUCAGGUCAUCUAUUAUCCAUGGAAGAGCUAAAAAUUUGCUAGCUUCCAUGUUGGACUGCAAAAUUUUCUACAGUCUUCCUUACUUACAUACUUAUAUGUAUCCCAAAAUGAACUCUUAAAGUUGUAAUUGAGAAAGAAGUGUCUAAAACCAUCUCCAGAGAGCCCAUUCUCGCAUCUAGUAUCCAUGAGCAGCAUUGAGUUUAGCUCAAAAUCCAUUUAGUGCUUCCAUUUGGCACUAGCAGUCAUGUUCUGCCCAUGGAGAGAACUCUUCCAGUAGACUGCUCUCACCAGCAGCCUGGAUAAUAGCUUCGGAUGAGGCCCAUAUCUGCCCUCCCGGUAACUCUCAGUAGCUCACUCACGAGAUAGGAAUAAUAUUUACAUUUUGCAUUAUGGAGUUGACUAAACUGCACGCAUACAACCAGCAUCAGAGUUUCAAUCCCAAAGACUUCUCAUUUCAAAAAAGUAUUUUUAGCAUUGGAAGACAGGGAGUUUGAGUCUGUUUUGGGAGUUUCAUUAUCCUAUUUACUCUUAAAAAUGUCUUGGUGGCCAGAGAUACUUCUGGCAAAGCCAAACCUGCUCACACUUCAGGUGAUUUCAACAGCAUUUUCCACUGAAGACCUCCAUGCAGAACUCCAUGUCAGUAUAUGGGAGUCCUGAGUCAGCUGGCAGCCCUAAGCAAUCAGGACAAAGCAGCCAGUGCCUCAUACAGGUGCACUGAAUCCCUUUUUACAAGGUCUUACAAUUUUUAACUGGCUGUGAAAGAAAUCAUACAGUACUUUCCUGGCACAGCAGCACAUCAGUUCCAGAUAUGGAAAUAACUUCGAUGCAAAGUGGUGAUGAAUGGCGUUCUCUGCUUGUUUCUUAAG